rnacentral:tRNA from 1 species
GGCCCUGUAGUAUAGCCUGGAUAGUACAAUCGGCUUCGGACCGAUAGACGGGGGUUCGAAUCCUCCCAGGGUCA